AAGGACAAAGGUUUGGUCCUGACCUUACUGUUAAUUUUUAUUAGACCUACACAUGCAAGUUUCCACAAUCCAGUGAGUCUGUCCUUUUAACUUCCAUUGAGUUUAAAGGAGCGGGUAUCAGGCACACUUCCCAAAGUAACACAUGACAACUUGUUUAACCUCACCCCCACAGGUUAUAGCAGUGACUAACAUUGAGCUAUAAACGAAAGUUUGACUAAAUCAUAAUAAAAAGGGUUGGUAAAUCUCAUGCCAGUCACCGUGGUCAUACAAUUAACCCAAAUUAACAGAAGAAUGGUGUAAAACGAGUUUAAGCAUUCAAUUUACCAAAUAAAAUGAAAGCUCAACUGUUCUGUAAUACGCCCUAGUUGAUAUUAAAAUACGCAAUUUACGUGUCUUUACCCAGGCUGAAGACACUAAAGCUAAGGUACAAACUGGGAUUAGAGACCCCACUAUGCUUAGCCAUAAACUGAAGUAAUUAAAUAAUAAAAUUACUCACCAGAGAACUACUAGCCACUGCUUAAAAUUCAAAGGACUUGGUGGUGUCCUAGACCCUCGUAGAGGAGCCUGUUCUAU
rnacentral:ncRNA from 1 species